rnacentral:rRNA from 1 species
CAGUCGCCACGGGAAUACGAAGGGGGCUAGCGUUGCUCGGAAUCACUGGGCGUAAAGGGUGCGUAGGCGGGUCUUUAAGUCAGGGGUGAAAUCCUGGAGCUCAACUCCAGAACUGCCUUUGAUACUGAAGAUCUUGAGUUCGGGAGAGGUGAGUGGAACUGCGAGUGUAGAGGUGAAAUUCGUAGAUAUUCGCAAGAACACCAGUGGCGAAGGCGGCUCACUGGCCCGAUACUGACGCUGAGGUGCGAAAGCGUGGGGAGCAAACAGGAUUAGAUACCCCCGUAGUCCCUGUCUCUUAUAC